GACGAACGCUGGCGGCGUGCCUAAUACAUGCAAGUUGAGCGAUGAAGAUUGGUGCUUGCCCCAAUUUGAAGAGCAGCGAACGGGUGAGUAACGCGUGGGGAAUCUGCCUUUGAGCGGGGGACAACAUUUGGAAACGAAUGCUAAUACCGCAUAACAACUUUAAACAUAAGUUUUAAGUUUGAAAGAUGCAAUUGCAUCACUCAAAGAUGAUCCCGCGUUGUAUUAGCUAGUUGGUGAGGUAAAGGCUCACCAAGGCGAUGAUACAUAGCCGACCUGAGAGGGUGAUCGGCCACAUUGGGACUGAGACACGGCCCAAACUCCUACGGGAGGCAGCAGUAGGGAAUCUUCGGCAAUGGACGAAAGUCUGAACGAGCAACGCCGCGUGAGUGAAGAAGGUUUUCGGAUCGUAAAACUCUGUUGGUAGAGAAGAACGUUGGUGAGAGUGGAAAGCUCAUCAAGUGACGGUAACUACCCAGAAAGGGACGGCUAACUACGUG
rnacentral:rRNA from 1 species